GACAAGAUCACGUUGUUCUUUCCAAACCGCCUCCUGAGGGUGAAACAUGAACAUGGUCAGUUCUGGGAACAGGUUUUUAGGCGCCACUCUUGGACAUUUAUAAUAACAGUUAUGUGAACCACUUACCUAAGCAACUUGGCAAGCCCCACGCCCAGCUGUCCAAGUCCUCCUAGAAGGAUAAAAAUGGAAGAAUUGACUACCAUAAUGAUAGUGUUGUUUGAGUAGA